rnacentral:rRNA from 1 species
GACGUAGGGGGCUAGCGUUGUUCGGAAUUACUGGGCGUAAAGGGUUCGUAGGCGGUGUGGCAAGUCGGGAGUGAAAUCUCUGGGCUCAACCCAGAGUCUGCUUCCGAAACUGCUGUGCUUGAGUGUGGGAGAGGCGCGUGGAAUUGCAGGUGUAGCGGUGAAAUGCGUAGAUAUCUGCAGGAACACCCGUGGCGAAAGCGGCGCGCUGGACCACUACUGACACUGAUGAGCGAAAGCCAGGGGAGCAAACGGG